rnacentral:rRNA from 1 species
UUUUUAUGUGGACUCGUCCUUGUGCCUCUGGUGCUUGGAUGGAACCACAUAAGCAGGUUGAAACUUCUUAGAGGAACUGGCGCCCGAAAAGGCGCACGAGAAAGAGCAAUAACAGGUCUGUGAUGCCCUAAGAUGUCCGGGGCCGCACGCGUGCUACAAUGACGAUGCUACUGAGCAUGAUUAACUUGUCCGAAAGGAUUGGUGAAACUGUUCAAUCAUCGUCGUGACUGGGAUUGGGGUUUGCAAUUGUCCCCCAUGAACCAGGAAUUCCUAGUAAGCACAAGUCAUAAGCUUGUGCUGAUUACGUCCCUGCCCUUUGUACACACCGCCCGUCGCUACUACCGAUUGAAUGGUUUAGCAAGGACAUUGGAUUGAGCCCUUGCGGUUUCGGCUGCUUGGGUUUGAGAAGAUGUCCGAACUUGAUCAUUUAGAGGAAGUAAAAGUCGUAACAAGGUUUCCGUAGGUGAACCUGCGGAAGGAUCAUUA